rnacentral:rRNA from 1 species
GAUGAACGCUGGCGGCGUGCCUAAUACAUGCAAGUCGAGCGAAGCGGGGACGGGUGAGUACUACGUGGCUAACCUCCUAUAAGACUGGGAUAACUUCGGGAACCCGGAGCUAAACCCGUUACUUAUAGUUGGGUCCGAGCUGCAUUAGCUAGUUGGUAGGGUAACGGCGUACCAAGGCAACGAUGCAUAGCCGGCCGGAGAGGGUGAUCGGCCACACUGGAACUGAGACACGGUCCAGACUCCUACGGGAGGCAGCAGUGGGGAAUCUUCCGCAAUGGGCGAAAGCCUGACGGAGCAACGCCGCGUGAGUGAUGAAGGUCUUCGGAUCGUAAAGCUCUGUUAUUAGGGAAGCGGUACCUAAUCAGAAAGCCACGGCUAACUACGUGCCAGCAGCCGCGGUAAUAC